rnacentral:rRNA from 1 species
GAUGAACGCUGGCGGCGUGCCUAAUACAUGCAAGUCGAGCGAACGGACGAGAAGCUUGCUUCUCUGAUGUUAGCGGCGGACGGGUGAGUAACACGUGGAUAACCUACCUAUAAGACUGGGAUAACUACGGGAAACCGGAGCUAAUACCGGAUAAUAUUUUGAACCGCAUGGUUCAAAAGAGAAAGACGGCCUUGCUGUCACUUAUAGAUGGAUCCGCGCUGCAUUAGCUAGUUGGUAAGGUAACGGCUUACCACGGCAACGAUGCAUAGCCGACCUGAGAGAGUGAUCGGCCACACUGGAACUGGAACACGGUCCAGACUCCUACGGGAGGCAGCAGUAGGGAAUCUUCCGCAAUGGGCGAAAGCCUGACGGAGCAACGCCGCGUGAGUGAUGAAGGUCUUCGGAUCGUAAAACUCUGUUAUUAGGGAAGAACAUAUGUGUAAGUAGCUGUGCACAUCUUGACGGUACCUAAUCAGAAAGCCACGGCUAACUACGUG